GAUGAACGCUAGCGGCAGGCUUAAUACAUGCAAGUCGAGGGGCAGCAUGAUUGUAGCAAUACAAUUGAUGGCGACCGGCAAACGGGUGCGGAACACGUACACAACCUUCCAACAAGUGGGGGAUAGCCAAGAGAAAUUUGGAUUAAUACCCCGUAACAUAGCGAAGUGGCAUCACAUUGCUAUUAUAGAUUUUUCGCUUGAUGAUGGGUGUGCGGCUGAUUAGAUAGUUGGCGGGGUAACGGUCCACCAAGUCUACGAUCAGUAGCUGAUGUGAGAGCAUGAUCAGCCACACGGGCACUGAGACACGGGCGCGACUCCUACGGGAGGCAGCAGUAAGGAAUAUUGGACAAUGGACGAAAGUCUGAUCCAGCCAUGCCGCGUGAAGGAUUAAGGUCCUCUGGAUUGUAAACUUCUUUUAUAAGGGACGAAAAAAGGCUUUUCUAAGUCGUCUGACGGUACCUUAUGAAUAAGCACCGGCUAACUACGUGCCAGCCGCCGCAGUAAUAC
rnacentral:rRNA from 1 species